GGAGGGGUGGCCGAGCGGUUUAAGGCGGCGGUCUUGAAAACCGCUGAACGAAAGUUCCGGGGGUUCGAAUCCCUUCCCCUCCGCCA
rnacentral:tRNA from 1 species